AGAGUUUGAUCCUGGCUCAGAAUGAACGUUGGCGGCGUGGAUUAGGCAUGCAAGUCGUGCGAUAACCCCGCAAGGGGGGAAAGCGGCGAAAGGGAGAGUAACGCGUGGGUACCUGCCCCUUGGUCCGGAAUAGCUGCGGGAAACUGCAGGUAAUGCCGGAUAACAUCCUCGGAUCAAAGGUGUGAUUCCGCCGAGGGAGGGGCCCGCGUUCUAUUAGCUAGUUGGUAGGGUAAUGGCCUACCAAGGCAACGAUGGAUACCGGGUGUGAGAGCAUGACCCGGCUCACUGGGACUGAGACACUGCCCAGACACCUACGGGUGGCUGCAGUCGAGAAUCUUCGGCAAUGGGCGCAAGCCUGACCGAGCGACGCCGCGUGCGGGAUGAAGGCCUUCGGGUUGUAAACCGCUGUCGUAGAGGAGGAAAUGCCAUGGGGUUCUCUCCAUGGUUUGACCUAUCUAGAGAAGAUCGCUUGCC
rnacentral:rRNA from 1 species